GCAAUUUCAUGUAGUAAAGACAUCCGACUUUGCUAAGGAAGAGAGAAUAACCAGGUGUAAUGUAACUUCAUAGUGGUGCUUUUAACAUUUCAAGCGAAGAUGAUUUUUAUUAAAUGAAAAGAACAGUUUAAAUUCAAUUUGGUCAAAGUUAAGGAUUUAAUUUUGCUCUUUAUAAAAAAAUCACAUUUUCAUGGUAAUGAUAGCCUUAACUUGCAAUCAACUUAACACGUUUACUAGAACUGACAAAAGUUUAAUACAGUUGGUUGAUUAACUGUUAGAAUAUGUGUUUGAUUGUACAUUAGGAUUUGAAGUAUUGGUGGGUUAACUUAGAUAUAUGUCAGUGAGUCUAUAAAACUUGAUUGUGUUUACUAAAUAUGAAGGAGGCUGCUGUUAUCUCCAUUUCAGGCAGUAUUUUUUUUAUGGCCGCAGGCUUAUGGCCUACAGGAUAAUAUAAAUAUUUUAAAACUGAAAUAUUAUUGAUAUAUUCCCUCAUGCCAUUUUGCUUUCAGAAGGAUCCAUUUUGAGCACUGUUGGUAAUCUGUACUUUAGAGAGCAUUGGGUGAAAUGCAUCUAUCAUUGAUUUUGGUCCUUGAGCCUGGGUUAGCCGGAGGGAUGUGUCAGUGAAGAUGUGCUGACCAUUAAAAAGAAAUUCCUCAGAGAAAACAUAAGUUUCAUGAAGAUGCUAGGAACUGCAGGUGUUGCCUUAAAAAAAAAAAAAAAGACUGGUGGUGUCUGGAGUAACUCAGCGGGUCAGGCAACAUCUCUGGAAAACAUGGAUAGGUUGGAACUCUUCUUCAGAUGUCAAUUUCAUGAAAUUAAAUGUUGGUGGAAUUAGCUCCUGACCAUCAGUUGUAACUUCUACACGGGAAGGUUAGGCCUUGCUUGUUGUCCUAUAGCAUAAGUUAAUUCCCAUUUAUUUGCAUUAAAUCAACCAUCCUUGAAGUUUAACAUGCUGCAGACCUACCUGCAAUUUCAUUUGUUUUCAUUAAAACUACAAUAAUCCAAAUUUCAAAUCAAUCCUGUCAAAUUUUAAUAGAGAAGGGGCAGGCAGGAGCAGGUUACAUUAAAUGAAUAUAUUCACUGUUCACGCCAUUGGGUUGCAAACUAUGGAGGCAGAAAAUGAGGUGUUGUUCCUCUAGUUCGCAUUUGGCCUCACCCUGGCAGUGGAUAGGGCUGGGGACAGACAGAUCAGUGUGGGAAUGAGGGAAGUUGAAAGCUCUGGCAACCAGGAGCUCUGACUGUGUGGUGGACGAGGCACAGGUGCUUUGCAAUGCUUGUGUUUGUUCUUGUCAAUGCAGAGGAGGUCUCAUCGAAAGCUCCUUGUGCAAGAGAUAAGAUGCAUGUGAACCUCUGCCUCACCUGGCAGGGUGGUUUGAGUCCCUGGGCGAUGAGUUGGGUUUGAGUUUAGUUUAUUGUCCCCUGUACUGAGGUACGGUGAAAAGCUAUUGUUGCUUGCUGACCACUCAGU